rnacentral:rRNA from 1 species
CAAGCCUGAUCCAGCCAUGCCGCGUGGGUGAAGAAGGCCUUCGGGUUGUAAAGCCCUUUUGUUGGGAAAGAAAAGCAGCCGGCCAAUACCCGGUUGUUCUGACGGUACCCAAAGAAUAAGCACCGGCUAACUUCGUGCCAGCAGCCGCGGUAAUACGAAGGGUGCAAGCGUUACUCGGAAUUACUGGGCGUAAAGCGUGCGUAGGUGGUGGUUUAAGUCCGUUGUGAAAGCCCUGGGCUCAACCUCGGAACUGCCUUUGAUACUGGAAGUCUUGAGUCCGAGAGAGGUGAGUGGAACUCCGAGUGUAGAGGUGAAAUUCGUAGAUAUUCGGAAGAACACCAGUGGCGAAGGCGGCUCACUGGCUCGGUACUGACGCUGAGGUGCGAAAGCGUGGGGAGCAAACA